rnacentral:rRNA from 1 species
UACAGAGGGGGCAAGCGUUGUUCGGAAUUACUGGGCGUAAAGGGCGCGUAGGCGGCCUUCUAAGUCGAACGUGAAAUCCCCGGGCUCAACCCGGGAACUGCGUCCGAUACUGGGAGGCUUGAAUCCGGGAGAGGGAUGUGGAAUUCCAGGUGUAGCGGUGAAAUGCGUAGAUAUCUGGAGGAACACCGGUGGCGAAGGCGGCCCACUGGAUCGGUACUGACGCUGAGGUGCGAAAGCGUGGGGAGCAAACAGG